UAGAUGUUGAAGGCAUAUUAUGUGAUAUAUAAAUUGAUUAGUUUGAUUCGUACUUUCUCAAGUGGCUUUUUGGAACUAGGUGAUAUUAUUAAAUAUACGCAUGAUGGAUAAAGCUCAGUCAAAUAAGCAAGCUUCCAAGAAUUCUAAAAGACGAAGUGCUGCGAUUGCUGUUGCAAUUCGGAAGACAAAU